rnacentral:snRNA from 1 species
GUGCUCGCUUCGGCAGCACAUAUCCUAAAAUUAGGAUGAUACAGAGAUUAGCGUGACCCCUGCGCAAGGAUGACACGCAGAUUUGUGAAGCGUUCCUUAUUUUU